GUCUUGCUGUCUGUUUUAUUCCUCUCUUUGCCUCGAGUACUGUCCCCACAGCUUCCACCAUGCAGUCCGCCCUCCGUCUGGUUUCCAUCUUGACUCUGCUCCAAGUUGUCCAGGGUGAUGUCCAGCUGGUGGAGUCCGGGGGAGAUAUGAAACAGCCUGGGGAGUCUCUACGCCUCUCCUGUAAAGCCUCUGGAUUCACCUUCACCAAUUAUAACAUGGAAUGGGUCCGCCAGGCUCCAGGGAAGGGGCUGGAGUGGGUCGCACACAUAAAUAGCCAAGGGGGCACAGCUUAUCAAAAUUCUGUGAAAGGUCGAUUCACUAUCUCGAGGGACAAUGCAAACAACCUGGUGCAACUUCAAAUGAACAGCUUGAAAACCGAAGACACGGCCCUGUACUACUGUACAAGAGACACAAUAAGAGAAAACACAACCUGAGCCUGUCAGAAACCCUUAGAAGAUUUCUGGGCUGCACCUGGCUAGGGGAACAGAGCAGCAGAGACCAGAGACAAUAGCCCCAGCUCCUAAA